UGGCUCAGGAUGAACGCUGGCGGCGUGCUUAACACAUGCAAGUCGAACGAUGAUGCCUAGCUUGCUAGGUGGGAUUAGUGGCGAACGCGUGAGUAACACGUGAGUAACCUGCCCUUGACUCUGGGAUAAGCCUGAGAAAUUGGGUCUAAUACUGGAUAUGAACAUUUACCGCAUGGUGGGUGUUGGAAAGUGGGGAUGGACUCGCGGCCUAUCAGCUUGUUGGUGAGGUAGUGGCUCACCAAGGCGACGACGGUUAGCCGGCCUGAGAGGGUGACCGGCCACACUGGGACUGAGACACGGCCCAGACUCCUACGGGAGGCAGCAGUGGGGAAUAUUGCACAAUGGGCGAAAGCCUGAUGCAGCGACGCCGCGUGAGGGAUGACGGCCUUCGGGUUGUAAAGCGAAAGUGACGGUACUUGCCCGGCUAACUACGUGCCAGCAGCCGCGGUAAUACGUAGGGCGCGAGCGUUAUCCGGAAUUAUUGGGCGUAAAGAGCUCGUAGGCGGGUCGCGUCUGCCGUGAAAGUCCGGGGCUUAACUCCGGAUCUGCGGUGGGUACGGGCAGGCUAGAGUGCAGUAGGGGAGACUGGAAUUCCUGGUGUAGCGGUGAAAUGCGCAGAUAUCAGGAGGAACACCGAUGGCGAAGGCAGGUCUCUGGGCUGUAACUGACGCUGAGGAGCGAAAGCAUGGGUAGCGAACAGGAUUAGAUACCCUGGUAGUCCAUGCCGGCACUAGGUGUGGGGGACAUUCCACGCCGCGCCGUAGCUAACGCAUUAAGUGCCCCGCCUGGGGAGUACGGCCGCAAGGCUAAAACUCAAAGGAAUUGACGGGGGCGGCGGAGCAUGCGGAUUAAUUCGAUGCAACGCGAAGAACCUUACCAAGGCUUGACAUGGACUAGAUCGCCGCAGAGAUGCGGUUUCCCUACGGGGCUGGUUCACAGGUGGUGCAUGGUUGUCGUCAGCUCGUGUCGUGAGAUGUUGGGUUAAGUCCCGCAACGAGCGCAACCCUCGUUCUAUGUUGCCAGCACGUUAUGGUGGGGACUCAUAGGAGACUGCCGGGGUCAACUCGGAGGAAGGUGGGGACGACGUCAAAUCAUCAUGCCCCUUAUGUCUUGGGCUUCACGCGGCCGGUACAAAGGGUUGCGAUACUGUGAGUCCCAAAAAGCCGGUCUCAGUUCGGAUUGGGGUCUGCAACUCGACCCCAUGAAGUCGGAGUCGCUAGUAAUCGCAGAUCAGCAACGCUGCGGUGAAUACGUUCCCGGGCCUUGUACACACCGCCCGUCAAGUCACGAAAGUUGGUAACACCCGAAGCCGGUGGCCUAACCCCUUGUGGGAGGGAGCUGUCGAAGGUGGGACUGGCGAUUGGGACUAAGUCGUAACAAGGUAGCCGUACCGGAAGGUGCGGCUGGAUCACC
rnacentral:rRNA from 1 species